rnacentral:rRNA from 1 species
CUCAUAUUGAACCUAGUGAUGUAUGAGUUAGUGGCGGACGGGUGAGUAACGCGUGGAGAACCUGCCGUAUACUGGGGGAUAACACUUAGAAAUAGGUGCUAAUACCGCAUAAGCGCACAGCUUCGCAUGAAGCAGUGUGAAAAACUCCGGUGGUAUACGAUGGAUCCGCGUCUGAUUAGCUAGUUGGCGGGGUAAAGGCCCACCAAGGCGACGAUCAGUAGCCGGCCUGAGAGGGUGAACGGCCACAUUGGGACUGAGACACGGCCCAAACUCCUACGGGAGGCAGCAGUGGGGAAUAUUGCACAAUGGGGGAAACCCUGAUGCAGCGACGCCGCGUGAGUGAAGAAGUAUUUCGGUACGUAAAGCUCUAUCAGCAGGGAAGAAAAUGACGGUACCUGACUAAGAAGCCCCGGCUAACUACGUGCCAGCAGCCGCGGUAAUACGUAGGGGGCAAGCGUUAUCCGGAUUUACUGGGUGUAAAGGGAGCGUAGACGGCAGCGCAAGUCUGGAGUGAAAUCCCAUGGCUUAACCAUGGAACUGCUUUGGAAACUGUGCAGCUAGAGUGCAGGAGAGGUAAGCGGAAUCCCUAGUGUAGCGGUGAAAUGCGUAGAUAUUAGGAGGAACACCAGUGGCGAAGGCGGCUUACUGGACUGUAACUGACGUUGAGGCUCGAAAGCGUGGGGAGCAAACAGGAUUAGAUACCCUGGUAGUCCACGCUGUAAACGAUGAUUACUAGGUGUUGGGGGACCAAGGUCCUUCGGUGCCGUCGCAAACGCAUUAAGUAAUCCACCUGGGGAGUACGUUCGCAAGAAUGAAACUCA